rnacentral:rRNA from 1 species
CGCGGCCUAUCAGCUUGUUGGUGAGGUUAUGGCUUACCAAGGCGACGACGGGUAGCCGGCCUGAGAGGGUGUCCGGCCACACUGGGACUGAGAUACGGCCCAGACUCCUACGGGAGGCAGCAGUGGGGAAUAUUGCACAAUGGGCGCAAGCCUGAUGCAGCGACGCCGCGUGGGGGAUGACGGCCUUCGGGUUGUAAACCUCUUUCAGUACAGACGAAGCGUAAGUGACGGUAUGUACAGAAGAAGCACCGGCCAACUACGUGCCAGCAGCCGCGGUAAUACGUAGGGUGCGAGCGUUGUCCGGAAUUACUGGGCGUAAAGAGCUCGUUGGUGGUUUGUCGCGUUGUUCGUGAAAACCUGAGGCUUAACCUUGGGCGUGCGGGCGAUACGGGCAGACUGGAGUACUGCAGGGGAGACUGGAAUUCCUGGUGUAGCGGUGGAAUGCGCAGAUAUCAGGAGGAGCACCGGUGGCGAAGGCGGGUCUCUGGGCAGUAACUGACGCUGAGGAGCGAAAGCGUGGGGAGCGAACAGGAUUAGAUACCCUGGUAGUCCACGCCGUAAGCGGUGGGUACUAGGUGUGGGUUUCCUUCCUUGGGAUCCGUGCCGUAGCUAACGCAUUAAGUACCCCGCCUGGGGAGUACGG